rnacentral:rRNA from 1 species
AACGAACGCUGGCGGCAGGCUUAACACAUGCAAGUCGAACGCAUCCUUCGGGGUGAGUGGCAGACGGGUGAGUAACGCGUGGGAACGUGCCCUUCAGUUCGGGAUAACCCAGGGACACUUGGGCUAAUACCGGAUACGUGCGAGAGCAGAAAGAUUUAUCGCUGAAGGAUCGGCCCGCGUCUGAUUAGCUAGUUGGUGGGGUAAUGGCCCACCAAGGCGACGAUCAGUAGCUGGCCUGAGAGGAUGAUCAGCCACAUUGGGACUGAGACACGGCCCAAACUCCUACGGGAGGCAGCAGUGGGGAAUAUUGGACAAUGGGCGCAAGCCUGAUCCAGCCAUGCCGCGUGAGUGAUGAAGGCCUUAGGGUUGUAAAGCUCUUUCGUCCGGGACGAUAAUGACGGUACCGGAAGAAGAAGCCCCGGCUAACUUCGUGCCAGCAGCCGCCGUAA